GUAGGUGGCAAGCGUUAUCCGGAUUUAUUGGGCGUAAAGGGAACGCAGGCGGUCUUUUAAGUCUGAUGUGAAAGCCUUCGGCCCAACCGGAGAAUUGCAUCAGAAACUGUUGAACUUGAGUGCAGAAGAGGAGAGUGGAACUCCAUGUGUAGCGGUGGAAUGCGUAGAUAUAUGGAAGAACACCAGUGGCGAAAGCGGCUCUCUGGUCUGUAACUGACGCUGAGGUUCGAAAGCGUGGGUAGCAAA
rnacentral:rRNA from 1 species